rnacentral:rRNA from 1 species
UACGUAGGGUGCAAGCGUUGUCCGGAAUUAUUGGGCGUAAAGAGCUCGUAGGCGGUUUGUCGCGUCUGCUGUGAAAACCCGAGGCUCAACCUCGGGCCUGCAGUGGGUACGGGCAGACUAGAGUGCGGUAGGGGAGAUUGGAAUUCAUGGUGUAGCAGUGAAAUGCGUAGAGAUCAUGAGGAAGACCAGUGGCGAAGGCGGGUCUCUGGACAGUUCCUGACACUGAGGCACGAAGGCCAGGGGAGCAAACGGG